rnacentral:rRNA from 1 species
UACGAAGGGGGCUAGCGUUGCUCGGAAUCACUGGGCGUAAAGCGCACGUAGGCGGAUUGCUAAGUCAGGGGUGAAAUCCUGGAGCUCAACUCCAGAACUGCCCUUGAUACUGGCGGUCUCGAGUCCGGGAGAGGUGAGUGGAACUGCGAGUGUAGAGGUGAAAUUCGUAGAUAUUCGCAAGAACACCAGUGGCGAAGGCGGCUCACGGGCCCGAUACUGACGCUGAGGCACGAAAGCGUGGGGAGCAAACAGG